GAUGAACGCUGGCGGCGUGCUUAACACAUGCAAGUCGAACGGAAAGGCCCAAGCUUGCUUGGGUACUCGAGUGGCGAACGGGUGAGUAACACGUGGGUGAUCUGCCCUGCACUUCGGGAUAAGCCUGGGAAACUGGGUCUAAUACCGGAUAGGACCACUUCUUAGAUGUUGUGGUGGAAAGUUUUUUCGGUGUGGGAUGAGCUCGCGGCCUAUCAGCUUGUUGGUGGGGUAAUGGCCUACCAAGGCGUCGACGGGUAGCCGGCCUGAGAGGGUGUACGGCCACAUUGGGACGGAGAGACGGACCAGACUACUGCGGGAAGCAGCAGUGGGGAAUAUUGCACAAUGGGCGGAAGCCUGAUGCAGCGACGCCGGGGGGGGGAUGACGGCCUUCGGGUUGUAAACUCCUUUCGGCAAAGACGAAUUUGGGACGGUAUUUGGAGAAGAAGCACCGGCUAACUACGUG
rnacentral:rRNA from 1 species